rnacentral:lncRNA from 1 species
UAUUCCCUCUCAGUCUUUGUUUUGCUAGGCUGAACAAGGAAAGCUGUUUUAGUUGUCUUUAAUAAUAUAGGCUUCCCAUUCCCUAGAUCAUCACCCUAGUCAUCAUUGUCCAUACCUGCUGCAGGACACAAUGGGAUCUAAUGAGUGGUUCCACAAUCAAGCCUCCUUCUGCUAUGCACAUGUGGCAUGGCAGAAGGCCCAAUUGUGUGGAUCAUGCAUUUGAUCCCAUUGCACCUUUAUCUGAACAUGUAGAGGGGCCCUGAAAUACAGAAGCUCUCUUUGUACUCUAUUUGAGAGAUGUAUUGCUUUACACCAGCUGGGGAGCUGGCCCAGUUUAAAGAAUGGGUAGGAGUAAGGAAUACAUAUUGUCUACUGCCUAAACAGGAGGUGUGAGAGCUGAAGAAAGUUGGUGUCGUCACUGCCAUUGCCAGUAAUGCCAUACUUCCUAAGGAUAUGUGGAAGAAAGUGCUGAAUCUAAACCAUCAUGCCAGGACUAGCUACUGUUACACUUUGUCAAGAUUGGGUGCAGAGUGUAGAAAGGCACAGGACCCACUUCUGGAUAAUAUCAGCAGCAAGCAUGCAUCUGAAGAUUGAGACACAUCUCUACUACCUGCGAGCAUCCUUUUCUUUACUUAUUCUUCUUCUAUUUUAUAAAACUGUUCUAAGGGGAGAUGGAGGGGUUAUAGCUAGUUCAGAACAAACCUCAGAGUUUGUUUUCAGUUAAGUUAAAAAUGUAAGGGCUGGAUCCUCAGCUGAUAUAAAUCAGAGCUGCUCCAUUGAUUUCAGGGUUCAAGGUUUUAAGGUAAGAGGCUUCAGGAUUUGUUUGUGUGGUCCUGGGCCAGAAAAACCUUGAGCACAUACUGUCUUAUAAUAUCAAAUUUUGUAUUAUAUAGAGAUGCCUUGUGGUGGACUGGCACUAGAACACUUAUCCAGCAAAACAGUGAUCAAAUAACACAACCGUGCUUUUAAGUGUUGCUUUCAGUGAGUCUUUUAAUUGAAUUCUGUUUUAACUAAGGAGACUGUUUAGGUGAAUAAAAGCUACAUUCAGAAAUGUUUGUAGAAUCA